UUUUCUUUCUUCUCCCAUCGCCGUUUUUUUUCCCCGACCCGCGAGCCACAACUCACCCUCCAUCCGUUUCUCCUUCUCUUCCCAACCGACGCGUCGUCGCCGCCGCCGCUCGCAUCGGUUUCGUUCUCCCCUACGCGUACAAAGCCUCGGCAGAAGGGAAGUCGGGCACCUUUCCUCUUCCCGUUGCUGCCACACCGAAUUCCCUCUUCUUCUCGUUCUUCUCUCUGUCUCUCUCUCGGAUGACUCAACACCGAGGCCAGAGGAGCUCGUCACCGGAGCUCGACGGAAGCCAGUGAAGUCACCGGAGCUUGACGUUGCCGAGGAAGACCUAGCAGUAUUCGGCCGAGAGAUCUCUGUUUCGGGAGUUUCAGCGACGAUCGUCGACGGUACGAUGACUAGGGCACAACGGAGGCUGGAUUCGUGUCAUCUCCCGACCAAAUCGACCUUCCCUUUCCUCACCUCGUGCUGCUCAUAGUGCGUUUCCCCUUUUCUGCUGGCCGGAUUGGACCGAGCGACGCCACCUAGCAGCGAUCCUUAAGUGAAGAAUUCCAGCAGGGAGUCUUGUUCCGUGGAGUUUUCUUGGUCCAGCCACUCAAUCUAGCAACAACUCACCUUGUUCUUUGUUCAACAGCGGCUGAGUUUGAGGUUGAGGUUGUUCAGGAGGUUCCAGUCGCUAGUCCCCCACCACUGCGCGUUGCAACGAGUUUGCACAUUUUGGUUUUCUUAUUAUGUUGGACUAUGUUUCAGACUUGUGUCUUCUGGUAUUAGGAUCUUGUAUGUUUCCUUAUUAUCGAUGGAUUUUCAUUUGGAUGUAUGUUGGUGAUUGUGUUUUAUGGGUGUAGUUGAGUAAGAUAUCGGAUUUUUAUUUUAUGAGUGUAGUUGAGUAGGAUAUCAGAUUUGUGUUUUAUGGGUGUAGUUGAGUAGGAUUUUUGCGAUGAUUUUCUUAUCUUUGCUUAUGUUUAGUUGUUACUAUUAAACUGCGUGGAUGCUUGCUAUAUUUGUACUGUUAUAUAUUAUUAUUGU